rnacentral:tRNA from 1 species
GCUUCCGUGGUGAAACGGAUCAUCACGCGGGUCUACGAAACCCGAGUUCCAGGUUCGAAUCCUGGCGGAAGCG